rnacentral:rRNA from 1 species
GACAGAGGGUGCAAACGUUUGCUCGGAAUCACUGGGCGUAAAGGGCGUGUAGGCGGGAAGGAAAGUCAGAUGUGAAAUCCCUGGGCUCAACCCAGGAACUGCAUUUGAAACUCCCUUUCUUGAGUGUCGGAGAGGAAAGCGGAAUUCCUGGUGUAGAGGUGAAAUUCGUAGAUAUCAGGAGGAACACCGGUGGCGAAGGCGGCUUUCUGGACGAUAACUGACGCUGGAGACGCGAAAGCCGUGGGGAGCAAACAGG